UUUAACCUAAUAUGAAUAAAUUCUCAUAUUA
rnacentral:tRNA from 1 species